rnacentral:rRNA from 1 species
GAGCAGGUGCGAAAGCAGGUCAUAGUGAUCCGGUGGUUCUGAAUGGAAGGGCCAUCGCUCAACGGAUAAAAGGUACUCCGGGGAUAACAGGCUGAUACCGCCCAAGAGUUCAUAUCGACGGCGGUGUUUGGCACCUCGAUGUCGGCUCAUCACAUCCUGGGGCUGAAGUAGGUCCCAAGGGUAUGGCUGUUCGCCAUUUAAAGUGGUACGCGAGCUGGGUUUAGAACGUCGUGAGACAGUUCGGUCCCUAUCUGCCGUGGGCGCUGGAGAACUGAGGGGGGCUGCUCCUAGUACGAGAGGACCGGAGUGGACGCAUCACUGGUGUUCGGGUUGUCAUGCCAAUGGCACUGCCCGGUAGCUAAAUGCGGAAGAGAUAAGUGCUGAAAGCAUCUAAGCACGAAACUUGCCCCGAGAUGAGUUCUCCCUGAGACUUAAAGUCUCCUGAAGGAACGUUGAAGACGACGACGUUGAUAGGCCGGGUGUGUAAGCGCAGCGAUGCGUUGAGCUAACCGGUACUAAUGAACCGUGAGGCUUAACCUUACAACGCCGAAG